UCCGACUUGGAGGUGUGCCCUGAGGCGUGGCCUCCGAGCUAACGCGUUAAGUCGCGCCUGGGAGUACGGCCGCAAGGUUAAAACUCAAAUGAAUUGACGGGGGCCCGCACAAGCGGUGGAGCAUGUGGUUUAAUUCGAUGCAACGCGAAGAACCUUACCUGGCCUUGACAUCCAGAGAACUUAGCAGAGAUGCUUUGGUGCCUUCGGGAACUCUGAGACAGGUGCUGCAUGGCUGUCGUCAGCUCGUGUUGUGAAAUGUUGGGUUAAGUCCCGCAACGAGCGCAACCCUUAUCCUUUGUUGCCAGCGGUUCGGCCGGGAACUCAAAGGAGACUGCCGGUGAUAAACCGGAGGAAGGUGGGGAUGACGUCAAGUCAUCAUGGCCCUUACGGCCAGGGCUACACACGUGCUACAAUGGCGCAUACAAAGAGAAGCGACCUCGCGAGAGCAAGCGGACCUCAUAAAGUGCGUCGUAGUCCGGAUUGGAGUCUGCAACUCGACUCCAUGAAGUCGGAAUCGCUAGUAAUCGUAGAUCAGAAUGCUACGGUGAAUACGUUCCCGGGCCUUGUACACACCGCCCGUCACACCAUGGGAGUGGGUUGCAAAAGAAGUAGGUAGCUUAACCUCCGGGAGGGCGCUUACCACUUUGUGAUUCAUGACUGGGGUGAAGUCGUAACAAGGUAACCAAGGGCGAAUUCCAG
rnacentral:rRNA from 1 species